AGAGAGAGACAUGCGCGCAUAUCAAUAAGCGGAGGAAAAGAAACUAACAAGGAUUCCCUUAGUAACGGCGAGUGAAGCGGGAAGAGCUCAAAUUUGAAAUCUUCAAGGUUUUACCUUGACGAAUUGUAGUUUAAAGAAGUGUUUUCUGUUGAAGUUUUGGUAAAAGUUCUUUGGAAUAGGACAUCAUAGAGGGUGAGAAUCCCGUAUUUGACCAUUAUUUUCAGCUUUGUGAUACACUUUCAAAGAGUCGGAUUGUUUGGGAAUGCAGUCCAAAAUGGGUGGUAAAUUUCAUCUAAAGCUAAAUAUUGGCGAGAGACCGAUAGCGAACAAGUACCGUGAGGGAAAGAUGAAAAGAACUUUGAAAAGAGAGUUAAACAGUACGUGAAAUUGUCAAAAGGGAAGCGUUUGACACCAGUGUUGUUUUCUCGAAAAUCAAUUAAAAAUGGCUCGAUUUUGUAUUGCUUGAGACCUUAAAAGCUCACUGUACAUUUUUCGUGUCUUUUUUAAUGCACUUUUCGUUUAACAAGUCAACAUCAGUUUCUUUUGUUGUAAAAGGGUCAUUGGAAGGUGGCUUUCUUUUCGGAGAAAGUGUUUAUAGCCUUUGGCCUCUGCAAUCGGAGAGACUGAGGUCUGCAGCGUAGACUCUUCGGGGUUAGAUACAUUUGUGCUAAGUUAUAGCUUUUUAUAGACAACUUGUUGACUAUAAUUAGUCUUGUAGCUUACUCGCUUAUGCUAUUUUACCUACGCUUAGGAUGUUGAAGAUGUAGCACAUCAU
rnacentral:rRNA from 1 species